rnacentral:rRNA from 1 species
GAUGAACGCUGGCGGCGUGCCUAACACAUGCAAGUCGAACGAACAGAUGAGGAGAUUGCUCCUCUGAAGUUAGCGGCUGACGGGUGAGUAACACGUGGAUAACCUACCUAUAAGUCUGGGGUAACUUCGUGAAGCAUGAGCUACUAACACAUCAUAUAAUGAACCGCAUGGUUCAAUAGUUAAAUGAGGUUUUGCUGUCAAUUAUAGAUGUAUUCGCGCCGCCUUAGCUAGUUGGUAAAGUCACGGCUUAGCAAGGCAACGAAGCGUAGCCGACCUGAAAGGGUGAUCGGCCAGACGGGAACUGAGACACGGUCCAGACUCCUACGGGAGGCAGCAGUAGGGAAUCUUCCGCAAUGGGCGAAAGCCUGAUGUAGCAACACCGCGUGAGUGAUGAAGGUCUUCGGAUCGUAAAACUCUGUUAUUAGGGAAGAACAAAUGUGUAAGUAACUAUGCACGUCUUGACGGUACCUAAUCAGAAAGCCACGGCUAACUACGUG